rnacentral:rRNA from 1 species
CAGGACGAACGCUGGCGGCGUGCCUAAUACAUGCAAGUCGAACGGUCGUUUCUAUGGAAGUUGCUUCACUGAGAAGAUAGUGGCGGACGGGUGAGUAACACGUGGGUAACCUGCCCAUAAGAGGGGGAUAACAUCCGGAAACGGGUGCUAAUACCGCAUAGUUUUCUUGAUCGCAUGAUCGGGAAAGGAAAGACGGCCUUUGUGCUGUCGCUUAUGGAUGGACCCGCGGCGUAUUAGUUAGUUGGUGAGGUAACGGCUCACCAAGACGAUGAUACGUAGCCGACCUGAGAGGGUGAUCGGCCACAUUGGGACUGAGACACGGCCCAAACUCCUACGGGAGGCAGCAGUAGGGAAUCUUCCGCAAUGGACGAAAGUCUGACGGAGCAACGCCGCGUGAGUGAAGAAAAGGUUUUCGGAUCGUAAAACUCUGUUGUCAGAGGAGAACAAGUUGGAGAGUAACUGCUCCAGCCUUGACGGUAUCUGACCAGAAAGCCACGGCUAACUACGUGCCAGCCGCCGC